CUAAGCCCGAUUUCAUUAAUUCUAUCUAAAACUCUGUGCCUUUUUCUCUCAAGUCUCUCAGCUCAACCGAUCACAAACUGGGCAUCUCUCAAGUCUGUAGUGAACCCCCAGCCAUCGACCACAGAGCACCCGCUGCCCUACCGGAACCCUAAUCUCAAAUUCAUCAACGGAGGUGCAUUUGAACAAAACCCUAAUUUCAGCAGCGGCGGUGCAUUUGAAGAAAACCCUGAUAGCCCAUCUAACAAUCGUCUGAGAAGGACCCAUUGAAGGAAGUAGAGGUACGAGUUGAUCUAGAGGAAGGUCCACCAGAUCCUAGGUCGAAAAUUUGGGGGAUUAAUUUGAAGAAGAAGAAGAAGAAAUUGGGGCCAAUUUUUUGGAGGGCUUGAAGUCUUCAUCGAAGUUGAUUGACGCGUUUUUGUUUGGUUGCCCAAAAUACCACCGGCACUCUCUUUCUCACCUUUAUCAGUUGAUCAAUCAGGAGCAGUCGAGCUAAUAGCUGGAAAUUGGAAUCAGUUGUAGAUCUUUGAAACAAAGGCGAGUACUGAAGUUUCCUUUUACUUAUCACCUUAAUUUGCUUCAUUAACUCUGCUACUUGCAAUUUAUGUUAUCUCAAUUUACUUUUUGAUUUAUUAUAUAUACACGUGUGUGCGCUUAUUGUGCGCCUUAAACCAUUAUCUUAUUGGCCAGAAAUUAACAGUCAAAGACAGGUCUCAAGUUUAGAUAGUUCACAUUUUACACUUCUUCUUCUUCUGUUCUUUUUUCAUCUUUCUCCUUUAGAGUGGAAUAUAUGAUAUCCACUAUCUGCUUUGCUUUGUUCACACCAAAGAGGAAUAAUCUUUUGUGCAUUAAUACUUUGUUCUUACAGAGUAAUCCUUAUUUUAGAAUAGCAUUUCAUCACUUAAUAGUGUUAUAAUCUCAUUGUCUCUGCAUAGUGAUCCUCCGUAGUCAAGAGGCCAGCUAAACAUAAAUCAAUGGCCAUUGGAAUUUGUUAGAAAUAAUUGGAAUGCUGUUCUUCUAAAUAAGUAAUGCUUAUAGUAAAUGUAAGUCACCAAUUGUUGAUUCAUCCAAAAAAAAAAAAUCACCAAUUGUUGAGACUUGAGUUUCAUUUAUGUCCUGUCUCAUAUAUGUGUUUCAUGUACUCUUGGCCUUUGUGGGCAGAAAAACAAGUAUUUAUGAAGUUCUCCAGACAAUAACGUGUUCUCUUGCUUCAGAGAGAGGGGAGAAGUUGGGUGAUUCAGUUGGAUAUAAGGUUCGGUUAGAGACUUAGAAGGCAUGAAAGGAAGAGAUACAUGCCUUCUCUUCUGCACCACUAGCAUUUUUGUUGAGAAGAUUGCUAGUUGAUGGAAAUUUGAAAGGUAUAACUCAUGUCAUUGUGGAUGAGAUUCACGAACGCAGAAUGAAUGAAGAUUUUUUGCUUAUUGUUCUCAAGGACCUCCUUCCUUCGGCUAGAACUGAGGUUGAUUCUGAUGAGUGCAACCCUAGAUUCUGAGCUUUUCUGGCAGGGCUCAGAUAAUUCAUGUUCCAGGUCUUACAUACCCUGUUCGAACUCAUUUUCUGUAGGAUGUUUUGGAAAGUACGGGUUGCAGGUUAACUCCAUACAAUCAGAUUGAUGAAAGUGCAAGGCAUAGUGCUUAAGAUGCAUUUGCUUGUAUGAGAUUAACAUUUUGGCAUAGUGCUUUUUGUAAUCACAAGGCAAAGUAGUAAUUGAAGUGAUUGUAAAAAGCUGGUGGUGGUGGGACUUUGAGUUUGGAAUUUGGAGUGCUCAGCCAAUUGACAAAUGAUCCUAAUUCCUCACUUGAGACCUGCUGAAUAUAAGAGAACUGGUAAUGCAGCAGAAGUGUUAUGUUCUAUAUUGGGCAAAAGGCAGAAAUAUACAUAAAGAGAGAGAACUGGUAAGCAGCAAAAAUUUAGCAUUCUAGCAGACUACGGAGGCCAAGCCACAGGAGGAAAAACAAAUGUCCAAGUGCUAGAGUACAAUGAAAUUAUUUGCUAUCCAGCUUCAAUAGUUAGAUUUCAUGGAACAAUUAAUGACUAUUGUAAAUGUAUUUUGGUGGCUGUAAUAACAGAAUAUAUGUAUUUUUAAUGAGUGAAAUGACUUUUGGGGUUUUCAGAAUGAAUGAGAACAUCAAUGAAUGGCAGGAACAAA